ACUAUCGCAGCACCGUUAUUUCCGCCACCACGGGUUGCCUGUACAAAGGCAGCUAGGGAUCUGCGAGGAGCCACAGAGAGGAAAGUGCUUCCACGCGUCGGAUCCCCUUCCUCUGCAAAGUUACCCGAGUGCAGGAAAGGGUACCUCACCUGUCCGCCUAAGAGGCGGCCGGCUCUCCCCGACGGUCCUGGGAAGGCGCUGCAGGGACCGGAAAUCCCGCCUCCCCGUGACGUCACAUCGCCGCGCCGCGCACUGUUCCCGGAAGCACACGACUUCAGGGCGCUCAGCGCGCGGGUAAACGGGAGUUUCGGACUUCGGACCAGGGUCUAAAAUAGGGCCUGAGAUGUGAUAAGCACGCUGUAAAUUGUUUAAAUAACCACUUGACUACAGAAAUGGAAUGACCCUUGGAGCCUGCAGAACCCACUCAACACAUGUUCUAGGUAAACUGGUAUUGUGGAGCUUUUAUCAGAGUCUCCGAAUGAUACAUCCUGACCUGCUCCCAGGGUAACUGAGGACUCAUUGUAACACCCUUGAGGGGCUGAGUGUGCACUCCGUUGGUCUAGCAGUAGCCCAAUAAAGAUGCAAUGAAAGGUUUGCUGAUUAUUUAAUUUCAUGGUUGAGUGGCAAGAAAAAAAUUGUGGAAAGGGAAUUCCGGGAUGUAAAUUGAGACUUAUAUCAAAUAGGCUAAUUAUAGGAUGCUAAUGACUAUGUAAAUGAUCAGAAAAAGAGAGAGGGUUUUGUUUUGGUCAAAUAAUAUUUAUUAUGUGCCAAUUUUGUGUUUAAUGUUUUACGUGUAUUUAGAAGCAGAGAAACUUGAGGACAGAGUUUGGGAUGAGGGUCCUGGAUAAAUGGCCUCUUUGUGCAGCCCAUAUGAACUAUAUCUGGAUCCUAGAGAGAGAAGACUCUGGCAGCAAAUAUAAAGAAGUAGUUUUCCCACAGGAUCUAUGAGAUCUAUGAGAGAUUUUUCAGAUCCCAAGGCAGGGCCACUCAGGAACCACUGUGACAGGUUAUAGUGCCAGGGAGUACAGCAGACAGGGCAGAAAGCUGUCUGCUGUACAGCAGAGGAACUAGGAGUAGUGUCACAUGAACAUAAAAUGAUUUCAGGGGACUGUCAACCAUGUACAGCACUUACAGGGAGGAAGUCACAGUGGAGACAGUACGGAGUUUUAUGGCAUUUCAUGGACAUCAAUGAAGAGGAAGAGGGAGAAAGGAUGCAUUUCUGAUACGCCCAAGAUCAACUGUGUAGUGAUUCUUGAAUACAGUGCCUAGAAACUGCCACAAUUGUUGGAGACCUCUUACUUGGAGGCAGCUUAAUGAGAACAGCUUUCCAAGGGGCUGAAGGUGUCAGGAUAUCAGUGAAAAUGCGACAGAGAAUUGCACAACAUGUGUACCUUCAUGGUAGGGAGUAAUAAUUCUGGGGGAUGUGGGAGAACUGGGAGGUCCUGUGCUUAUUAAUCAUAUACGUCUUUUUAAAUUAUUCCACCACACAGAACUUGGAAACCCUUGGUUUAGACAGCCCUUGGGUUAAGAUAUUGUAUACUGAUGAUUUUGUAAAAAGAAACAAGAAGAAGAGAAAAAGCAAAAAGAUGAAAGAAAAAAAUCAAAUUUUUAAAGUCAACUUAGGUUGCUUUUUCGAUGUAUAGUCUAGAGAUAGGCAUAUACCUUGGUGAAUUUUAAGCUACAAUUUUGUUGCUUUAACAGUGGAUUUUCUCAUUUGUAAGUUUGUAAGUAGAUAUAAUUCUAAAUGCUUUAAAUGUACAAUUCUUUAAUGCAGCCAGCAAAUGAGCCGCAGGUGUACCCUGAGAUCCACAUCGAUUUUUCUUUCAAUACUUUAGGUCAAUAAAACAGAUCCACACAAUAAUUUAUCCUAAAAAUAGCCGGCGCCGCGGCUCACUAGGCUAAUCCUCCGCCUAGCGGCGCCGGCACACCGGGUUCUAGUCCCGGUCGGGGCGCCAGAUUCUGUCCCAGUUGCCCCUCUUCCAGGCCAGCCCUCUGCUGUGGCCAGGGAGUGCAGUGGAGGAGACCAGGAAAAGCACCUGGCUCCUGGCUCCUGCCAUCGGAUCAGCGAGGUGCGCCAGCCGCAGCGCGCUGGCCGCGGCGGCCAUUGGAGGGUGAACCAACGGCAAAGGAAGACCUUUCUCUCUGUCUCUCUCUCUCACUGUCCACUCUGCCUGUCAAAAAAUUAAAAAAAUAAUAAUUUAUCCUAAAAAUAAAUUAAAAUUCAAUAUGAGUUUAUAAAAGUGUAUUUUAAAAUUUUUAUUUUAAUUUUAAACUUUUUGUAACUGAUUCAGUGUGAUUUGUAGAUGCAUUUCUAAGAACAUAAUGAUAUUCCCUUGCUCUCGCCCUUUCCCUCUUUCCCUUCUCUCCCUGUCACUCUCCUUCCUUCUCCCUUUUGUUCUCUCUCUCUCUUUUCUUAGUUUUUAGAUAACACAUUUUAAAUUUACAUUGCAGUAACAAAGCUAAAUACUUUACUGAAUAAGAAGUUUAAUAAGUGAAAAGCAAAAAGACUCUAGUUUAGUAGAAAUACAGACUACUGCUAUAAACAAUAAUUGAAUAGAAAAAUGGCUAUUUCACCCAUAUAGAGUAAAUUUUAAAGUAAUCACAGAUCAAUAAAACUAUAGUAGCAUAACAUUCUUUUUUUCAAAGAUUUAUUUAUUUGAAAGGCAGAGUUACAGAGAAAGUGAGAGACAGAGAGAGAGAGAGCAAGAUCUUCCAUCUGCUGGUUCCACUCUGCAAAUGGCUGAAAUGGCUGGAGCUGAGCCUAUCCAAAGCCAUGAGCCAGGAGCUUCUUCUGGAUCUCCCACAUGGGUGCAAGGGCCUGGGUCAUCUUUCACUGCUUUCCCAGGAGCAUUGGCAGAGAGCUGGAUCAUAAAUGGAGCAGCUGACACUUGAACAGGUGCCCACAUGACAUGCCAUCAUCACAGACUGUGCUGUACCCGCUGUGCCACAGCUCUAGCCCUAGUAUAACAUUUUUAACCAUUGGUUUCACAAGGUAUAAAAAAAAAGAUUUACAAAACUAUAUUUGCAGCAAUACUGAUACAUAAAAACAUUUCUUUCUUCUUUUUAAAUUUUAGUUCCUACAUAUAAAGGGAAACGUGAUAUUCUGGCUUAUUUCACUCAACAUGAUCUCCUCCGAUUGCGUCCAUUUUGCUGCAAGUUAUAGAAUUUCAUCCUUUUUAUAGCUGAGUAAUAUUUCACUGUGAAUAUAUAUACCACCUUUUCUUUAUCCAUUCAUCUGUUGAUAGACACCUUGGUUGAAUCCAUAUUUUGGCUAUUGUGAACAGUGCUACUAUAAACAUGGUGGUGCAAGUAUCUCUUUGACUCAUUGUGUUCAUGUCUUUUGGGUAUAUACUCACUAGUGGGAUUCUGAAUCAUAUGGAAAGUCUAAUUCUAGUUUUUUAAGAAAUUGCUACACUGUUUUCCACAUUGGCUGCGCUAAUUUACAUUCCCGCCAACAGUAUAUAAGUGGAACCUUUGUCCACAUCCUUGCCAGCAUUUGUUGCUCUCUGCGUUUUGGAUUUUAGCCAUUCUGACAGGGGUGAAGUGAUAUCUCAUUGUAGUUUUGAUUUGCAUUUCUCUGAUGGCUAGUGAUGAUGAGUACUUUUUUGUAUGUUUCUUGGCCAUUUGUAUUUCUUCUUUUCAGAAUUAUCAAAGUUUUUUGCCCAUUUCUCAACUGGAUUGGUUGUUUUUGUUGUCGUCAUUUCUUAAGUUGCUGAUAUAUUCAGAAUACUACUCCUUUGUCUAAUAGGUGGUUUGUGAAUAUUUUUUCCCAAUCAUGCUAUUGAUCAUUAUCUUCACUUUGCAAAAGCUUUUGAGUUUGAUAUAGUCCCAUUUGUUUAGUUUUACUUUUUUGUUGCUUGUGUUUUGGGGGUCUUAUCCAAGAAGUCAUCUCCUACACCAAUAUCAUGGAGUGUCUCCCCUACAUUUUGUUCCAGCAGCUUCGUAGUAUCAGGCCUUAAACGUAAGCCUUUCAUCCAUCUUGAGUUAAUUUUUGUGUAUGGUGAGAGGUAUGGAUCUAAUUUCAUCCUUCUACAUAUAUACAUCCAGUUUUGCCAACACCGUUUGUUGAAGAGAUUAUCCUUACUCCACUGUAUGGUUUGAACACUUUUGUCAAAAAUCAGUUGGCUUUAUGUAUGUAGAUUAAUUUCUGGGCGCUCUGUUCAAUUCCAUUAAUCUGUAUCUUAAUUUUUAUGCCAAUACUAUGCUGUUUUGAUUACUAUACCUUUGCAAUAUGCUUUGAAGUCAGUUAUUGUGAUGACUCCAGCUUGACUUUCCUUGUUCAAAAUUGCUUUGGGUGUUCUGGGUGUUUUGUGAUUCUAUAUUAAUUUUAGGAUUGCUCUUUCUAAUUCUGUGAAGAAUAUCAUUGGUAUUUUGAUAGAGAUCGCAUUGAAUCUAUAGAUUGCUUAGAUAGUAUAAACAUUUUAAUGAUAUUGAUUCUUCUUAUACAUGAGCAAGGAAUAUCUUUCCUUUUUUUGUGUUCUUGAUGAUUUCUGUCAACAAUGUUUGAUAAUUUUCCUUGUAGAGAUCUUUUACUUUUUUUAAAGAUUUUUUUAAUUUUACUUGAAAGGCACACUUACACAGAGAGAGAAGGAGAGGCAGAGAGAGAGAGAGAGAGAGAGAGAGAGAGAGGUCUUCCAUCUGCUUGUUCACUCCCCAGAUGGCCACAACAGCUGGAGCUGUGCUGAUCUGAAGCCAGGAGCCAGGAGCUUCUUCCAGGUCUCCCAUGUGGGUGCAGGGACCCAAGGACUUAGGGCACUUUCUACUACUUUCCCAGGCCAUAGCAGAGAGCUGGAUCAGAAGUGGAGCAGCUGGGUCUCAAAUGGGCAACCAAAUGGGAUGCCAGCACUGCAGGCAGCGGCUUUAUCCCCUAUGCCACAGUGCUGCUCCCAUGAGAUCUUUCACUUUUUUGGUUAAAUCUAUUCCUAAACAUUUUAUUCUUUUGUGGCUGUUGUGAGUGUGAUUUCUCUUUCUGUGAGUUCAUCAUUAGCAAACAAACAAAAAAAAAAACUACAGUUUUUUGUGUUUAUUUUGUAACCUGCAACUUUUACUGAGUUGUUUAUCAAUUCCAAUAGCUUUUUGGUGGAGUGUUUAGAUUUUUCCAUGUACAUCCAUCUGCAAACAUGAAUAAUUUGACUUCUUCUUUUCUAAUUUUGAUGGUCUUUAUUUCUUUCUCCUCCCUAAUUGCUCUUGCUAAAACUUCUAGUACUAUAUUGAAUAAGAGUGGUGAACAAGCUAUGUAGAGAUGAUAGCUAAAAAUUGACAAAUUUACAUUGAACUCACAUAUUAAAACUAAAUUGUUCUUCUUGUCAGUUAAUUAUGCACAGAUCCAAAGAUAUAGAUGGUCCUUAAAGCCAGCACAUGAGUUUUGAGAUGUGGAGACCAUUGUUAAAGCACAGGUCACUGAUAGCACUGCCUCCAGAAAGAUACUUGGCUUAGAAAAAGAAUGAAUUAAAAAACUAAUAAAUAGCAAUAUUUAGAUGUUCCUACCAUGAAAAUUAUCCAAAAACAUAUGUGUACACACAUAUAUUGGCAUAUAUAUGCAUAUGUAUAUAUAUUAAAGAUCAAAUGAGUAUUUUAAGACUUCUAGGGUAAUUCAUCAUUUAUAGUGUAACUGAAGCCGCAAAUAUUUAAUCCAUGAUGUGAUCCAUUACCUCAAUGAAACCAUACCAUAAAGAAGCUUUUAGUGGCAGGGCAGGGAAGGAUGAGGAUAAGAAAAAUAUGGGAGAUGUAGUUCAACUACCUCUAUAAAUGAAAAACAAAGUAGGCACUGGGACUAGCUGCAGAUGGAUAUCCCCUUGGAGUACAGUAUGUUCCCAUUUUAUUGGAUUCUUCAGAAACUAAUUGCUCCAUUCAGUAAGGUUUUAGUGGGCUAAUAAUACUGCUACAGGACAUUUACAAAUCAUUCCUUUUUACUUUUAAUGGAUACUUUGUAUUCCCCAAUAAAUUAAGCAUGGAAUUUUUCAUAGGUCAAAAUACCUUUCCAUACCAGCCAUCUAUCCAACCAUAGUAGACUGAAUAAUGGUCCCCCUAAGAUGCCCACGUCCUAAACCCUGGAACUUAUUACAUGCUGCAUUCCAUGGCAAAAAGAACGGUGCAGAUGUGAUUAGAGAUGUGUGUUUUAGCAAUCCUGAAUUGGAGGAUCAUGCAGGAUGAUCCAGGUGGGUCCAGUGUAAUCACAGGGGGCCAUCUAAGAGGGUCAGAAUUAGAGAAGAUUUAGCCUCGUCAGAAGCGGGGAGGGAAGGAAAUCCAAUUGGGGAUGCAGCAGUAGUAGAAAGGGAUUGGAAGAGGCUGUGCUGCUGACUUAAAUGUGGAAGAAGGGUCCAUGAACGAAGGAAAACAGGCAGCCAAUUGCUGGGAGAAGCAAGGAAAUGAAUUCUCCCUUCGAGCUUCCAGAAGAAAUGCCAAGUCUGCCAACACCUGGCUUUAACCCCACUGAAACUGAUUUUGAAGUUCUGAUCUCCAUUACUCUAAGAUAGUAAGUCGUGUUGUUUUAGCUGCUAAGCUUAUGGUAAUUUGUUACAGCAGAAACUAAUACAUCAACUAAAUGAAGACUCUGACCCCCUUUCUGUUUUGAAAACAUGAUAUUAGCUAGAUAGAUUUCAAGCUUCUCAGAGUACUUAUUGCUAAAAUUCUGUUAUACUUUUUCUGCUAUGCUUUUGCUUUCUUGAGUUUAGAUAUCUUUAGAAAAUUCUCAAGGGUGCCUGCCUUUUCACAGUGUAGCUCUUAAUUACCAAAAUAUAGUCACCUUGCUAGUAGAGUUCAAAUUCAUUCUUAGAUUCUGUUUUCAUUCAUGGUCAGCACUAGGUGUUUGCAUUUCACUAUUGCAGUAACUUGAUGUUGUCAUUUAAUCUAAUUGCAGAAUCUCUGAUGAUAUGUUUUAGACAGCACAGCAAGGACACAUUUAGAAAUGGAAAACAAAAUGGAGAAUAAAAUUUCAACCAUUAAUCCAGCAAAGCCUCGAAUUUAUUAAAUAAUAUAUACUUCCAGGCCAGUUCAUAGUCUUCUGGAAACAAUAUCCCAAUAGCCUAAUAUCUUGCUCAUGAAGAGUCCCCAGAGGAUACCCAAAGAGUCAUCAUGUGGUAACAGCCUCUUGAGGGUAGGAGCAGGAACCCCACUAAUAAGUCUGUCUCUUGAGGGCCAUACACCAUAGGCUAAUGGUGAAAUCAAAGGAUUUUUUUUUUUAACAAAACCAACGAGCUGGAAUGCAUUUUCCACUUCCAGUGUUUCUUUUCCUGGUAAAGGAUCUUUUCCUGAUGUCUCAAUUCUUUCCUCUGCCCCAGGGAAAGUGGUAGGUAAAGAUUGGAAGAAUAAACCAGUAAAUGCUUAAAUCAUCUGUUUUCUUCUUGAAACCAACUUCCCUCUGAGAGAUGGAAGUCUACCCCUCCACAAUUUAAGAAUACCCUGGGCAAAUCUCCAUUUCAUAGGCAAGUCUGUCCAGUUUGGGCUUUGCUUUGCAGGCCCUUUUGACUCUCAACAGACCAUAUUAUAGUCUUUAUUAGAAUUAAAGAUGGGGGCCGACGCCAUGUCUCACUUGGUUAAUCCUCCAACUGUGGUACCGGCAUCCUAUAUGGGCACCGGUUCUAGUCCCGGUUGCUCCUCUUCCAGUCCAGCUCUCUGCUGUGGCCCAGGAAGGCAGUGGAGGAUGGCCCAAGUGCUUGGGUCCUUGCACCCGCAUGGGAGACCAGGAGGAAGCACCUGUCUCCUGGCUUCGGAAUGGCAUAGCUCUGGCCAUAGUGGCCAUUUGGGUAGUGAACCAACGGAAAGAAGACCUUUCUCUCUGUCUCUCUCUCUCUCACUGUCUAACUCUAUCUGUCAAAUAAAUAAAUUUAAGAAAAUCUUAUAAAAAAGAAUUAAUUAUGACAUUUUGGUCUCUAUAUGCUUUAUUUAUAGUCUUUUUUUUCCAGUUUUUUUUUUUUUUUCUAGCCUCCAAAGACUAGGAAGGGUACUGACAUGGGAAGGUAGGUAGGUAGAGGGAGGAGCUGAGGUUUGCCAGCUCUGAGCAACCCACAUGGUGGUGUAGGCUGCUGUUUGACAGCCAUGGUGUGACAUGCUGGGAGAUGGCUCUGUUGAUGCCAACCUCUAUGGGACAGGGACAGCCUGUGAUAGGGGAGCUGGGGCUGGCCCAGCCUGGCCUGUGUGACAAUCCCCUUUCUGUGUACCAUCCGGGCCCCCACCUUUCUGAAUAGUGGAACCACAAGUUCCACAGUGUUGUGAACUUAGAACUAGAGCCAACUGGAAAUAUCCAGUAUGGCUGCAGGAUGUGUCCCUGCAAUGACCUUUAUGUCAUUAUAAUAAAGUUACCAUGGCGGGUAUUCUUGAUCCCAUCAUGCACCUGACACCAGAACAUUUUUGAUAUUUCCAUAAAAGGGCAAGGAUGGGUGGUAUUCAACCUAGUAUCAAACAUCAGUUCCUUUUGAAUAUUCAGUUAAGCCACACCCUGAUACCACCCUCUAUGCUUCCUGACAGUAAAAAGAUUGAGUUGAAACUUGUUGAGGGUUCUUUUUGUGUGUGUGUGGGGGGGGGGGAUUGGGUUUUUGGGGAGAUAUUUUUAUGUGUUGUUUGCUCAUUGUCUCUCUUUCUUGAGCUGAUCUGACUUAUUUCUUGAGUGUGCACGUUUGCUUUGCCUCCACUUUUAAUUCUUCCAUGCACAGAGGGACAAACCUGCAAUAGCCCCAGCUGGGGAAACUGCAGCCCAUAACAGUACUAUUUUGGGGGUACCCUCAGAGAUACAAAAAUACAUAAAAUGUUAUUUUAAUAUGCUACCGCAUUCUGUUUGCUAAUAUUUUAUAUUGGAUCUUAUACUGAUAUAUUUAAGUGGGAUUAAUUUGCAGCUUUCUUUUUCUUUUUUAUUUUCUUUUAUUUUUUUGGACCGGCAGAGUGGACAGUGAGAGAGAGAGACAGAGAGAAAGGUCUUCCUUUUCCAUUGGUUCACCCCACAAUGGCCGCUGCAGCCGGUGUGCUGCAGCCGGCAUACCACGCUGAUCCGAAGCCAGGAGCCAGGUGCUUAUCCUGGUCUCCCAUGCGAGCACAGGGCCCAAGCACUUGGGCCAUCCUCCACUGCACUCCCGGGCCACAGCAGAGAGCUGGCCUGGAAGAGGGGCAACCAGGACAGAAUCCGGCGCCCUGACAGGGACUAGAACCCGGUGUGCCGACGUUGCAGGUGGAGGGAUUAGCCUAGUGAGCCGCAGUGCCAGCUACUUUCGUUUUCUUUUUUAAAGAUUUUAUUUAUUUAUUUGAGAGGUAGAAUUACAGACAGUGAGAAGGAGAGACAGAGAGAACGGUCUUCCUUCUGCUGGUUCACUCCCCAAAUGACAUCAAUGGCCAGAGCUGCGCCUAUCCAAAGCCAGGAGCCAGGAGCUUCUUCUGGGUCUCCCACGUGGGUACAGGGGCCCAAUCAUAUGGGCCAUCUUCUGCUUUUCUAGGCCAUAGUAGAGAGCAGGAUUGGAAGAGGAGCUGCGGGAACUAGAACCGGUGCCCAUAUGGGGAUGCCGGCACCUCAGCACCACCCCAAUUUGCAGCUUUCUGUUAGGAUUUUUGUUCCAUCAAGAUUGCUGUAACUUCAUAAAAAUAAUUUAGAAAUUUUUUAUUUUAAUUUUCAAUGCUCUGGAAAAAUUUAAAUAGUAUUGGAACCAUCAGUAAUUUAUGUUUUCCUAAAAAUCACCCUUUUAGUUCAAAUUCUUAGGUUUGCUUAGAGUUGAACAUAGUGAUCAUCAUGCCCCUUUCAACCUCUGCUUUAUUUGUGGUUAUUUCAUUAUUAGUCCCAAAUUUUGUACUUUUAUUCUAUCUAACAUUUCCCUACUUCAGCAGAU